CUUAGUAGCUGGUCAUCACAACAACAAAAAAUCAUUAAAUGUGCUUGCCUAAAGGACGCAGAUUUGCACGAUCGAGGUUUUUGGUGGAAGUAUCCGAAAAAGCAAGUUUUUCCAGUUGGGUAUAAACUGCUACAAUCAUUAAAAGUCCUCUGUGGCCAACACAAAAGCGUCUACGGCGGAUCUUGUCUUCAGCUGAGCAGCCGAGGAGCAGCGCCCGGGCGGGCGGCGCGUCCCGGCGGAGGAGUCCCUGCUCGGCGGCGAUGGAAACGCGCUCGGCGAGGGCUCCGGCACCGGCACCGGCGGGAGUUUCGAGUUUCCACUGGCGGCGGGGGGGGGGCGGGGGGCGGGGGCGCGGGGCGCGGGGGAGGUGGCGACGGGCGCACAGCUAGCUCCGGGCGGGGCGCCCCGCUGCCCGGCCUGCCCGCGCCCCUCCGGAGGGGCUCCCCGCGGGGCUCCCGCGCCGCCGCCGGCCCUCGCGAGUCCCCCAGCCCGCUCCGCGACCCCCGGCGACGCCGUGUGCGGAGGGGGAGGGGAGGGGAGGGGAGGGGAGGGGAGCGGAGGGGGCGGGGCGGCCCUCACGGCGCGGCGGCGGCGGCCCUCACGGCGGCGGCCCUCACGGCGGCGGCGGCGGCGGCGGCGGCGUGGGCGCUCAGGCCGCGGCGCGAGGCCGGCCGGCCGGCAGGGGGAGGCGGGGGGCGCGGGGCAGCCCCGCCUUUCCCCCGAGGAGCCGCCGGGCGGCCAUAUUGCGGAGCUGUCUGCGGCGGUGGCGGCGCCUCUCGUCUCCGGCGGCCCAGCGUCCCCCCACAGCCUCUCCCCGCCGGCCGCGGCCGCACGCCCGUCGCCGCCGCGCAGCGCCCCGGCCGCGCUCGGGGCGGGAAGCAGCCGCCUGUUCGCAGGGUAAGCCGCGGGCGCCCUCCCUUCCCCGCUGCCUCUCCCCGGCGGCGCCAAGUUGCGGCGGCCCGCGCUGCCCGGGGCCGCGCCGCGAGGGCCUGGCGCGCCUCUCGGUUGGCGCCGCGCGGGCCAGGCCGCCCUCCGGGGCCGGCGGCGGCGGCGCGCCCCGGAGCAGCCGCCGCGCGUGUGUGGCCGGGGUGGGCCCCGCACCCCCAGCCCCGCCGCCUGGGCGCGGCCCGGCCCGGCCCGGCCCUCGGGCGCCCUCAGCACCCGGCAGCGCGGGCAGAAUUGCGUCUCGCGGGUAGGGGCGGGGGCGCGUUAGACCCCCCGGGCCGCAGACUGAAAGGAGGGGCGUGGAAUUACUAG
rnacentral:lncRNA from 1 species